UUGUUUUGGGAUCAAUGCCUGUUUAGAUUUGCCUUUGUAUUUAAUAUUUACCAGUCUCUGCUCCUCUUUGCUUCUCACUUCCUGUGCCUUCUCCCAGAGAAACGGAGCUUUUGGAAUUCUUUCAGCAGGGAACUGCUUCAAUGUGGAUAUGAUGGCUGGAGCUCCAGCAGCCAUCCUGUGACCCUGAGAACAAGCCAUUCAUUGAGGCUAAUGAAGCAGGAAGAAGGAAUCCUGAGUCCUUGGGAAACAAGGAUCUACCUGAAUAGCUCCGAAUGCCUACUUCUAGAUGUCCUUUUAGAAAGAGAAGCACACCCUUGUGUAUUUCAGCCACUGCUAUUUAAGGUUUAACCUAAUCAUGAUAUAAUUGGUUUUUCUUGGAA
rnacentral:lncRNA from 10 species